CUGCUGUUGAGCCCAUUAAUGCACAUUGAGAGCCAUGGUAGACUAGAUGGUGCUGGGAGCUGAGACAGCAAAAAUUAAGAAGAUCCAGUCCUGCAUCUUCCAUCAGCUCUUAGUGACAACAUUUUCAGCACACAGUGAUGACGAAGGUCAUUCAGAGGCUGUGUGAGAGCACACUGACCAUCAGCCGUAGCUACAGACCACACGAGUAACUAAGCCCCACAUCUAUUUUGCCUGUAACAAACACCUUGUCCCUUUCUUCUUAAUCCUGUUGGAAACCAUUUCGAAUGGCCUGUGAAACUCCACCACACUGCUGGAGGGGAGGCAACUAAUCGGUCGGGUCAGUUUUAAAAACUGCUUUGCACUUUAUAAGUGACAUGCGUACUUGCUGUGCUACACAGCUGUUCUGCUACCAGGUUUAUCAUCAAUAGUAGUGAAAAUGUAUGACCACACAAAACCUAUACAUAAAUACUUGCAGCGACUCUGUUCAUUGUCACUGACACGGUAAAGAAUUCAGAGACCUGGCAGCCACUGGUCAUGUAAAUUGUGACCAUUCAAACAGAAUACUACCUGUGAGUAAAAGAACCAGAAUUGGAGAUGGGAAAGGACCAACAAUUGAACUAGAUUUGAAUCCAUCAAUGUCUGCCUUAUGACUGAUGCUGCCAGUGUUUUCCUAUUAGGACAGGCUCAAACUGAUAAAGGGACAGACCAGUCCUAUCAAAUUAUACUGAUAAAAAAUAAUUCACAUGGUAAAAUUAUGAUGGUGGCAAUCAUAAGUGCCUCCCAAGUAGCUGGAAUGUGGAUGGACUUCCAGGUAAUUCUGGCUACAAUGUAUCAGGAGGUUGACUUCCAGCUAGAGAACUUCAAAAAUGCAUUACUGUGUCAGAGAAGUCCAAUUAACGGCUGAAAGAUUCAUUUGUAAACAGAAAAAUCUGCAUUUGGGCUACCAAGACGGCUCAGCACAAGAAGAUCCCUGCUGGUGAAUCUGACAGAGAAGUUCUUGAGUUUGGCCCCCAAGUCCCAUAUGGUGGCAAAAAGAGAACAGGCUCCUGCAAUUGUCCUCUGACCUCCAUACUUGCACCAUGGCAUGUGCUCUCAUGGGUGACACACAUCACACACACACACACACACACACACACACACCAAAUAGAAUGAAAACCUUAAAAAAUAAAUAAAUAAAACUUCCGUUCA
rnacentral:lncRNA from 1 species